GCAAAAGCUUUAAAAAAAAUUAAAGAUGAAUAUAAUUUAUUCGAUAUCUGGAGAAUUUUUUACCCUAAUGAGAGAGACUAUACGCAUUUUUCCAAAGUGCAUUUUUCUUAUUCUAGAUUGGAUAUGAUUUGGGUCGAUCCAAGUAUUAUUGAUAUGACCAAAAAAAAAAGAUUGAUGAGAUAGUUUGGACAGAUCACAAUGGAG